rnacentral:rRNA from 1 species
UAGGGAAUAUUGGUAAUGGGCGAAAGCCCGAACCAGCAACGCCGCGUGCGCGAUGAAGGCCUUCGGGUUGUAAAGCGCUUUUUAAGGGGAUGAGGAAGGACAGUACUCUUAGAAUAAGCCUCGGCUAACUACGUGCCAGCAGCCGCGGUAAAACGUAGGAGGCGAGCGUUAUCCGGAUUUACUGGGCGUAAAGCGUGUGUAGGCGGUUUGAUAAGUUGGAUGUGAAAGCUCCCGGCUCAACUGGGAGAGGUCGUUCAAAACUAUCAGACUUGAGAGUGGUAGAGGGAGGUGGAAUUCCGGGUGUAGCGGUGGAAUGCGCAGAUAUCCGGAGGAACACCAGUGGCGAAAGCGGCCUCCUGGACCACUCCUGACACUCAGACGCGAAAGCUAGGGUAGCAAACG